UGGGCAACCAUUGGUCCCGCGUCUGUCGGAAGCUGCGCAGCGAUUAGCCCAGGAGCCAGUCAGUUACUGCCCAGCGCGGUUGACUUUUGCUGUUAGACUGCGAGAGGCGGGAGGGAGAGAAGGGCAAGGACUGCUGGGCAGCGCCCUCCAGUACUGCUUGAAACGGAUGGACGUCGUAUGGGCCAGAGGCAGGGAUGGUCGGCUAUGACCCCAGAGCAGAUGGCAGGAAUAUCUCCAAUUUCGAGGUGGCAGUGGCUGGGUCUGUAUCUGGACUUGUCACCCGAGCGCUGAUCAGUCCCUUGGAUGUCAUCAAGAUCCGUUUCCAGCUUCAGAUUGAACGCCUGUCUCGCAGUGACCCCAAUGCAAAGUACCAUGGGAUCCUACAGGCCGGGAGACAGAUUCUGCAGGAGGAAGGCCCAACGGCGUUCUGGAAGGGACACAUCCCAGCCCAGCUUCUCUCCAUAGGCUAUGGAGCUGUCCAAUUUCUGUCGUUCGAAAUGCUGACCGAGCUGGUGCACAGAGCCAGCGUGUACGACGCCCGCGACUUCUCGGUGCACUUCGUGUGUGGCGGCCUGUCGGCCUGUGCGGCCACCCUCGCCGUGCAUCCCGUGGACGUCCUGCGUACCCGCUUUGCAGCUCAGGGUGAGCCCAGGGUGUAUAAAACCCUGCGGGACGCCGUGGCCACCAUGUACAGGACCGAAGGCCCCUUGGUCUUCUACAAAGGCUUGAACCCCACCUUGAUCGCCAUCUUCCCCUACGCCGGCUUCCAGUUCUCCUUCUACAACUCCUUAAAGCACAUGUAUGAGUGGGCCAUGCCAGCCGAAGGGAAGAAAAACGGAAACCUCAAAAACCUGCUGUGUGGCAGUGGAGCUGGAGUCAUCAGCAAGACCCUUACGUACCCCCUGGACCUCUUCAAGAAACGGCUGCAGGUCGGAGGGUUCGAGCAGGCCCGAGUCACCUUCGGCCAGUCACCUUCUCCCCAGGUUCGAAGCUAUAGGGGCCUCCUGGACUGCGCCAAGCAGGUGCUGCAGGAGGAGGGAGCCCGGGGCUUCUACAAGGGCCUGUCCCCCAGCCUGCUGAAGGCCGCGCUCUCCACCGGCCUCGUGUUCUUCUGGUACGAGUUCUUCUGUAACCUCUUCCACCACAUGAGGACGGCAAACAGCCAGCCCUGAGGGCCUCAAGGUGGCCUGAGGUCUUUCUGCAGGCGACCUCUUGAAAGAAGGAAGAGGACCUACCUACGACGUCUGUGCUGUCUUAUGAAGGCACCAGCUAGGAGCUGGCUUUGAAUGGGCAUCAUGGCCCUACUGGAUUCUGGCCCCUUCUUUCGUUGUUACUAUUCCGUCUGUGGUCUAGGGCUUCGUGGUAUGUCUGGGACCCUGAACCCUGAGGCGUCCCUGGUCUUGGCUGCUGAUUAUGAAGGUGCAGGCUGAGGCCGGAGGGCCCUCCAACCUGUAACCUCUUCCACCACAUGAGGACGGCAAACAGCCAGCCCUGAGGGCCUCAAGGUGGCCUGAGGUCUUUCUGCAGGCGACCUCUUGAAAGAAGGAAGAGGACCUACCUACGACGUCUGUCGCACUGAGCACAGGCUGGAGCCAGAGCCCAGAGGUGAGGACAGGCUGUGACCAGUCCUGCCGGAGUCAGAGGAGCCACAGGGUUUCUGGCAUCCAAGGCCCGGGCUUGGGGCUGCAGGGAGGCAGCUUCCUGAAUGUAUUUUUUAUGAAAUUCCAUUGAAGUAAACUUUAUUUUCUUCA